GACGUAGGGCGCGAGCGUUGUCCGGAUUUAUUGGGCGUAAAGCGCUCGCAGGUGGUUCGUCGCGUCGUGCGUGAAAGACCCCGGCUCAACUGGGGGAGGUCGUGCGAUACGGGCGGACUGGAGGCCAGUAGGGGGAUGCGGAAUUCCGGGUGUAGUGGUGGAAUGCGUAGAGAUCCGGAGGAACACCAGCGGCGAAGGCGGCAUCCUGGACUGGUCCUGACACUCAUGAGCGAAAGCGUGGGGAGCGAUCCGG
rnacentral:rRNA from 1 species